rnacentral:rRNA from 1 species
GAUGAACGCUGACAGAAUGCUUAACACAUGCAAGUCAACUUGAACUUCGGUUUGGGUGGCGGACGGGUGAGUAACGCGUAAAGAACUUGCCUCACAGUUAGGGACAACAUUUGGAAACGAAUGCUAAUACCUGAUAUUAUGAUUUUAGGGCAUCCUAGAAUUAUGAAAGCUAUAUGCGCUGUGAGAGAGCUUUGCGUCCCAUUAGCUAGUUGGAGAGGUAACGGCUCACCAAGGCGAUGAUGGGUAGCCGGCCUGAGAGGGUGAACGGCCACAAGGGGACUGAGACACGGCCCUUACUCCUACGGGAGGCAGCAGUGGGGAAUAUUGGACAAUGGACCAAGAGUCUGAUCCAGCAAUUCUGUGUGCACGAUGAAGUUUUUCGGAAUGUAAGGUGCUUUCAGUUGGGAAGAAAAAAAUGACGAUACCAACAGAAGAAGUGACGGCUAAAUACGUG